ACGCUCGACACCUACGGGAGGGCAGCAGUGGGGAAUAUUGCACAAUGGGGGAAACCCUGAUGCAGCGACGCCGCGUGAGUGAAGAAGUAUUUCGGUAUGUAAAGCUCUAUCAGCAGGGAAGAAAAUGACGGUACCUGACUAAGAAGCCCCGGCUAACUACGUGCCAGCNCGCCGUAGUAUCNGAGGCGGNGUGACGAGC
rnacentral:rRNA from 1 species